rnacentral:rRNA from 1 species
UACGUAGGGUGCAAGCGUUAAUCGGAAUUACUGGGCGUAAAGCGUGCGCAGGCGGUUGUGCAAGACAGAUGUGAAAUCCCCGGGCUCAACCUGGGAAUUGCAUUUGUGACUGCACGGCUAGAGUGUGUCAGAGGGGGGUAGAAUUCCACGUAUAGCAGUGAAAUGCGUAGAGAUGUGGAGGAAUACCGAUGGCGAAGGCAGCCCCCUGGGAUAACACUGACGCUCAUGCACGAAAGCGUGGGGAGCAAACAGG